AAUUUUCCGACGCUGUACCAGCAAUGAAAGCUGACCAUUUCACUGCUGAUAAUAUCGAAGUUUUGAUCCAGCAAAAGGAUUUAAAUAGACCGAUAGAGUUUUCGGGUGUUUCAUAUUCAUAUCAAGAGGUAUAUAACGCAGUGGCGUAACGGAACACAAGUCAGUCUUAUCUGAGAACGCGUAUUGUAAACGUAUCAGCAAACAGAAGUUGUAAAGCAAAUAAGUAGAUCGAUAAAUUAUUGUUAAGUAAAGUAAUUGUAAAUGGACUGUUUUAAUUGAAAUUAAAACGUCUACAGUAAAAACAUAGAUCGAUAAGGAUGGUAAAUUAUGUUGGUCAUACUUUGGUAAAUUUUGUUGGUCAUACUUUGGUAAAUUAAGUUGGUUCUAACCGCGACUCCUAAGGUAGAAUAAUGAGAAUUGUUUCAGAACAAAUUCAA